rnacentral:rRNA from 1 species
UCCUUCCGUAGGUGAACCUGCGGAAGGAUCAUUACCUAGAGUUGUAGGCUUUGCCUGCUAUCUCUUACCCAUGUCUUUUGAGUACCUUACGUUUCCUCGGUGGGUUCGCCCACCGAUUGGACAAAUUUAAACCCUUUGCAGUUGAAAUCAGCGUCUGAAAAAACUUAAUAGUUACAACUUUCAACAACGGAUCUCUUGGUUCUGGCAUCGAUGAAGAACGCAGCGAAAUGCGAUAAGUAGUGUGAAUUGCAGAAUUCAGUGAAUCAUCGAAUCUUUGAACGCACAUUGCGCCCCUUGGUAUUCCAUGGGGCAUGCCUGUUCGAGCGUCAUUUGUACCUUCAAGCUCUGCUUGGUGUUGGGUGUUUGUCUCCUGUAGACUCGCCUUAAAACAAUUGGCAGCCGGCGUAUUGAUUUCGGAGCGCAGUACAUCUCGCGCUUUGCACUCAUAACGACGACAUCCAAAAGUACAUUUUUACACUCUUGACCUCGGAUCAGGUAGGGAUACCCGCUGAACUUAAGCAUAUCAAUAA